CAUAGAAUAAGUUAUUAUUUUCUAUUUUUACAAAAACAAGUUUGGAAACAGGAUCUAGUCCUCCAGCUUGAUGUCAUAUUCCAUUUAUUUGGAUAUUUGAAUAAAGGAAUGUGAAAUAAUAAUUGAAACUUGAUCAAAAUUUGAUACCAACACGGGUCAGUACCUAGCUAUAUGAUUGAGGCUUGUGAUUGGCUGUAGUGGUUUAAGUUAAUUAAAUUGAUUUGUUGCAGAACUUUGCAUUAUAUAUUCGUAUUACCAUAGUCACUCUAUGUAUGCGUAGUAUUAGGUUAUAUAGCCUAGGUAGUCAAGGUAAUUAACUAGUAGUCAAAGUGGUCAAGGUAAUCUAGGCGGUGGAGGUAAUCUAGGUAGUGGAGGUAAUCUAGGUAGUGGAGGUAAUCUAGGUAGUGGAGGUAAUCUAGGUAGUGGAGGUAAUCUAGGUAGUGGAGG